UAGCUCAAUGGCAGAGCACUUACCUAGCAUGUAUGAGACCCUGGGUUCAAUCCCAG
rnacentral:tRNA from 1 species